GGGAAGAGGAACCUCGUUUGUUCUCUAUGAGGUAGUGCGGAGGUGUUAUUGUUCGGUCAAGCCUUUCAAGCAUCCGCCACAGUUCAUUUUAAAUACCUGCUCUCCUUCUCUGCACUGACACAAAUACGGCGAUGAACGAAGUUUAAGGAUGGAGGAAGAACUCUAUUAUGCGACUGUGGUUUUCAAAAAUGGUGGCAGUCCUCAGAAAGAAAACGAUGAGGACUCUACAAUUUAUUCUACAGUUCAAUCUGAAGUUCCUGUAGAAAUAAAAGCAGCAAGAGGAGCAGGAGGAGGAGCAGCAGGUGGAGGAGCAGCAGCAGCUGGAGC